GUGGGGAAUAUUGGGCAAUGGGCGAAAGCCUGACCCAGCAACGCCGCGUGAAGGAAGAAGGUCUUCGGAUCGUAAACUUCUAUCCUUGGUGAAGAUAAUGACGGUAGCCGAGAAGGAAGCCCCGGCUAACUACGUGCCAGCAGCCGCGGUAAUACGUAGGGGGCAAGCGUUGUCCGGAAUGAUUGGGCGUAAAGGGCGCGUAGGCGGCCUGGUAAGUCUGGAGUGAAAGUCCUGCUUUUAAGGUGGGAAUUGCUUUGGAUACUGUCGGGCUUGAGUGCAGGAGAGGUAAGCGGAAUUCCCGGUGUAGCGGUGAAAUGCGUAGAGAUCGGGAGGAACACCAGUGGCGAAGGCGGCUUACUGGACUGUAACUGACGCUGAGGCGCGAAAGUGUGGGGAGCAAACAGGAUUAGAUACCCCAGUAGUCC
rnacentral:rRNA from 1 species